AUUAGUCAAACCGAGCUAAGUUGCUAACAAUUAGAAAUUUAAAUUGAAUGCGUUUGUGUCGCCAAAGCUGUUGAAGUCACGCACUUACAUUUACCAAUUAAUAUUGUUCACGCGUGAGAUUAUAACAUGCACUCUUCAAACAACUUAUUUGCCAUGCAAUCGAUCAAAAUGACACGGGGAAAAGUGGCUAGAAUUGAAUAAAACAGUCGACGUUAUCGCCUCCGUGUUGUAUUUUUUUUUUUGUUUCAUUUUCUUGACGCGGCUAUCUUGCCGUCAAAAUAAGCUUUUAGUUAUAUUUUUUUAAUAUAGCGUUGGCAUCAGGCAAUAUUAAGCAGGGCUUUUUUUUUUUCAUUCGCGGAAGGGGGAAAAAAAGGAGGGGGUGUGAGGCAGCCCUCAAUAAUCUUCGCAACGCAGCCUACUUCUGCUGCUUUUAGAACGUGAAGUGUCUUUUCGCUUUAUUAUUAUUAUUAUUUUGUCACAGCCCACCUCUCUCUUUAUCAGAGACCCAGAAACAAGUGGGCUUCGACGUCGGAGCGGCGGCGGCUGCUUGUGUAACUGGCUGCUUUCACCUCAGCUGAACUUGACGCAUCUGCUUGAGCGGCGGGCAGAGGACGCGCCGUGUCCCCGCUGAACCGAGCAGCCCGGCCCGGGGAGGAGGGAGCGGAGAGCGGCGUCACGAUUACCCGGCUGCCGACUCUGAACACGGACACUUUUUUUUUUUCUUCCCCCCACGACUUCGCCGUCUGGAAUGUCUCUUUGCUUGGAACUUGACGAGAAUUCGAGAACGUUGGACUUGAACGUGACCCAGGGGCCACCAGAGUCCACAAGCACCCUUGAGAGCAGGAGGCUGUCGGACGCCUGACGACUGCCACGAGAGCACUUGACUUUGCAGCAGACUCCGAGCGACGCUCCACGAAGACGCAGCGUUAGUUUUUGUUUACUUUUUCGCAGCGCCGUGCACGGGUCGCUCAAAUGACACAAGUGGGGAGGGGGGAAAAAAAAAGCACACAAUCGGCGUUGAUAAAUUUUCCUGCGAUAAUACCAUUAGAGUUGAGUGUCUAAAUUGAGAGCAGCGUUAGAAGGUCGAAAGGAGAGGGGCAAUCUCAUGGUUAACUUCAAAAACUAGGAUGACGAUUCUGCUCAAGCACUGCCCUUUCUUAAACGUGGGCAGAACUGCAAAAAAAAAAAAAAGUGUGGGGGGGGGGGGACGAGCUGCGAGGAUUUAUCAGCCGUUCGGCACUUCUAGAACCUCCUAACGGACACUUGUUCCUCGCAAGCACGGGCCUAAUGUCCCUCUCUCCCCUUUUCCCCCCCUAAACUUUGCUGUGCGCUCGUCUGCCGCAGAGAGAAGCUGGUUUCCCCCGGAGGUGAGUGGCUCCACGAUUAUCAGAGUCAUGCAUUUGUACCGGCAGUAUUGGAAAAUUCAAAAGAAAUUUGAUUGCAAUAUGUCUUCAAUUGCAAAAAAAAAAAAAAAGUCAAGGACAAUCCGGGUAUUCAUAUUUUUCAUCCACUCAAAUUUGGCUGCUUUUCCCCCCAAACGACUACGUGUUGCAAUUUGGCACAUAAAACCUUUGGGGGAAAAAAAAGGUUAAGAGAAUUUAGCUGAUUAUUUUUCCCUCUUCAUGUCAAACAAAAAAAACAUUUUCCUGACAUUGUGCAGCAGCAAAAUGCAAAAUGCACAUUUUCAUAACGAAGAGGCUACUUUACAAGAAAAUUCAAAGCGUCCAAACUCGUUUGCAAUUUUAUUCUUUCAAAAUAAUUUUGUUAGUUUAGGUCAUUUUUAACUUGUAAAUAGUUUUUUUAAAAAAAGUUAAUAAACUGUCCCGUGGGCAUCAAAGUAAUUAUUUUCCUUUUUAAAUGUGUAUUUGAUAACAAGAGCAAGGAAUUAAAAUUUAAACUUAUAUCCUUGUGUAUUGUUCUAUGCGAUUUCACCUCUUUGCGUAUUUAAAUUUGAGUUAUUUACGUCGUAUAUGUGCAUUUAUGUAUUAUUUUACUCUCAUCUUUCUUCCUCCCACAAAGAGAUCUGUUUCCACAGUUUCCAAACGGAAUAAUUAAAUUUGUGUGCAUUUUAUUGUUCAUGACCUAAAAUAUUCACAAAUGCCCUCUAAUUGUCACAGACCUCGAAGGGUUUGUAAACUUUAAUCGACUGAAGGAAUUUCUUCAUUCCUCUUUUACCCUCGAUAUGCCGUGUGCCUCUUUUUUUAAGAUAAUUGUUUCAGUUAUAUUUCUAUUUGUUUCGCAUAAGCUGCUGCUGUUUUUUUUUUUUUUUUUUUAAGCCCGUUUGGCAAAUUGAGAUUGGUGUGCGAGAGGCUGCGUCACUCGGGCCGCCAUGUUGUCUCGUGUCCUCCAUUUUGUGCGUGUGACUCUGCGGGAGCUCAGAGGCUUUCAUCAAAGUUUUUCCUCUCGACUUGGGCCUGGCUCAAUAAUCAAGUCAGGAAAACGACGUUUUUCGUUUUUACUUUCGCAUUUUUUUCAAGGACAAUUUAUUAGGAGCUGGCCAGCUUUUUGAUUUCAUCCCAAACAAUUUGACGUUUUCCCUCGGGAGGCCGCCUGCUUUAUUUUAUGACGUGUGCCAACCACAUAAACAAGUUGAAAACCGCCUAGACAGGUAAACCUCCGGGGAUCCAGGCUUAUUUCUCCUCCUAAAACAAUUUGUCAGUGUAAUUGGUGAGAGGUUGCAGGGAACGUUAGCUUUUACGGCCCUUUGACGCGAGCGCGUGUGACCCAGGGCCCAAUAAUGGCCACUAAAGGUCACAAAGGUUAAUAGAGACUGAUGUACGAGGCCUCCGCGUUACAUCCCAAAGGAGACGGCCUCUUAAUCCUUAUUAGGCCUCCCGUGUUAGCAAUCUUUACCUUUCAAAGCAAACAGCACGCUCUCUUUGCGCCGGGGGGCCCUGGACCUGCCCCCGGCGUUCCACUUCUGACCCCGGGGGUCAUGCCCUUUGUUCGCAACCCUUCAGCGGCUGACCUUAGAGGUCACGCUUGUAAUGGAGAAGUUGUCGCGGCGCGUGCUGCCGAGGGGCCCCUCCGCGGACCACCUUGGAGAGGGAGCGGGGGGCCGCCGCGCUGCCCCGCCGGCGAGCGCAGGAAGCGUGGGGGAGCAUACGGAACUCUGCAUCUUAAAUUUUAUAUAGGGUUGAGGUGUUUUGAAACUUUUUUUUUUUUUUAAUGCAACA